GAAACGUGUCCGGUAGCGCCAAAAAGAAGGAAAAAAAAAAAGGAGAAAGAAGAAAAUCCACCCGCCGCGAUGCGAGGAGAUCGGAGGGGAAGUGGUGGAGGUUUUGUGUUUGCCCUCGGGGUAACGCACAGAGAAGCAGCGUCGCUUAUGCGAGAUGUUGAUGGAAUUUAUGUAUUAAAAAAAAAGAGAAAAGCCCCUUUUCAAGAAUAAAGUGUAUCAAGUUACAGCCCAGCAGACGGCAGAGGGAUAAGUGAAACAGACAAAAGACAAACAAGAUAAUAAUCUGUUUCCAAUCAGUUAAGCCCUGUAGAAUUUGUAAUACGCGGUUUGCAUAUUC